rnacentral:tRNA from 1 species
GAGGGUAGAGCUUAGUAGUAGAUUGCAUGCCUAGCAUGUAUGAGGUCCUGGGUUCAAUCCCCAGUACCCCUA